GACGAACGCUGGCGGCGCGCCUAACACAUGCAAGUCGAACGAGCGAGAGAGAGUUUGCUUUCUCAAGCGAGUGGCGAACGGGUGAGUAACGCGUGAGGAACCUGCCUCAAAGAGGGGGACAACAGUUGGAAACGACUGCUAAUACCGCAUAAGCCCACAGGUCGGCAUCGACCAGAGGGAAAAGGAGCAAUCCGCUUUGAGAUGGCCUCGCGUCCGAUUAGCUAGUUGGUGAGGUAACGGCCCACCAAGGCAACGAUCGGUAGCCGGACUGAGAGGUUGAACGGCCACAUUGGGACUGAGACACGGCCCAGACUCCUACGGGAGGCAGCAGUGGGGAAUAUUGCACAAUGGGGGAAACCCUGAUGCAGCGACGCCGCGUGGAGGAAGAAGGUCUUCGGAUUGUAAACUCCUGUUGUUGAGGAAGAUAAUGACGGUACUCAACAAGGAAGUGACGGCUAACUACGUGCCAGCAGCCGCGGUAAAACGUAGGUCACAAGCGUUGUCCGGAAUUACUGGGUGUAAAGGGAGCGCAGGCGGGAAGACAAGUUGGAAGUGAAAUCUAUGGGCUCAACCCAUAAACUGCUUUCAAAACUGUUUUUCUUGAGUAGUGCAGAGGUAGGCGGAAUUCCCGGUGUAGCGGUGGAAUGCGUAGAUAUCGGGAGGAACACCAGUGGCGAAGGCGGCCUACUGGGCACCAACUGACGCUGAGGCUCGAAAGUGUGGGUAGCAAACAGGAUUAGAUACCCUGGUAGUCCACACCGUAAACGAUGAUUACUAGGUGUUGGAGGAUUGACCCCUUCAGUGCCGCAGUUAACACAAUAAGUAAUCCACCUGGGGGAGUACGACCGCAAGGUUGAAACUCAAAGGAAUUGACGGGGGCCCGCACAAGCAGUGGAGUAUGUGGUUUAAUUCGACGCAACGCGAAGAACCUUACCAAGUCUUGACAUCCUGCGACGAUGCUGGAAACAGUAUUUUCUUUCGGGACGCAGAGACAGGUGGUGCAUGGUUGUCGUCAGCUCGUGUCGUGAGAUGUUGGGUUAAGUCCCGCAAACGAGCGCAAACCCUUACUGUCAGUUACUACGCGAAGAGGACUCUGGCAGGACUGCCGUUGACAAAACGGAGGAAAGGUGGGGAUGACGUCAAAUCAUCAUGCCCUUUAUGACUUGGGCUACACACGUACUACAAUGGCGUUAACAAAGAGAAGCAAGACCGCGAGGUGGAGCAAAACUCAGAAACGAACGUCCCAGUUUCGGACUGCAGGCUGCAACUCGCCUGCACGAAGUCGGAAUUGCUAGUAAUCGUGGAUCAGCGUGCCACGGUGAAUACGUUCCCGGGCCU
rnacentral:rRNA from 1 species